GACGAACGCUGGCGGCGUGCUUAACACAUGCAAGUCGAACGGAAAGGUCCUGCUUUUGUGGGGUGCUCGAAUGGCGAACGGGUGAGUAGCCCGUGAGUAACCUGCCCUUGACUUUGGGAUAACUUCAGGAAACUGGGGCUAAUACCGGAUAGGAGCUCCUGCUGCAUGGUGGGGGUUGGAAAGUUUCGGCGGUUGGGGAUGGACUCGCGGCUUAUCAGCUUGUUGGUUGGGUAGUGGCUUACCAAGGCUUUGACGGGUAGCCGGCCUGAGGGGGUGACCGGCCACGUUGGGACUGAGAUACGGCCCAGCCUCCUACGGGAGGCAGCAGUGGGGAAUAGUGCACAAUGGGAGGAAGCCUAAUGCAGCAACGCCGUGUGCGGGAUGACGGCCUUCGGGUUGUAAACCGCUUUCGCCUGUGACGAAGCGUGAGUGACGGUAAUGGGUAAAGAAGCACCGGCUAACUACGUG
rnacentral:rRNA from 1 species